rnacentral:rRNA from 1 species
UACGUAGGGGGCUAGCGUUGUCCGGAAUCAUUGGGCGUAAAGCGCGUGUAGGCGGUCCGGUAAGUCCGCUGUGAAAGUCGAGGGCUCAACCCUCGAAUGCCGGUGGAUACUGUCGGGCUUGAGUUCGGGAGAGGGAUGCGGAAUUCCAGGUGUAGCGGUGAAAUGCGUAGAUAUCUGGAGGAACACCAAUUGCGAAGGCAGCUCGCUGGGACGUGACUGACGCUGAGACGCGAAAGCGUGGGGAGCAAACAGG